GAUGAACGCUGGCGGCGUGCCUAAUACAUGCAAGUCGAGCGAACGGACGAGAAGCUUGCUUCUCUGAUGUUAGCGGCGGACGGGUGAGUAACACGUGGAUAACCUACCUAUAAGACUGGGAUAACUUCGGGAAACCGGAGCUAAUACCGGAUAAUAUUUUGAACCGCAUGAUUCAAAAGUGAAAGACGGUCUUGCUGUCACUUAUAGAUGGAUCCGCGCUGCAUUAGCUAGUUGGUAAGGUAACGGCUUACCAAGGCAACGAUGCAUAGCCGACCUGAGAGGGUGAUCGGCCACACUGGAACUGAGACACGGUCCAGACUCCUACGGGAGGCAGCAGUAGGGAAUCUUCCGCAAUGGGCGAAAGCCUGACGGAGCAACGCCGCGUGAGUGAUGAAGGUCUUCGGAUCGUAAAACUCUGUUAUUAGGGAAGAACAUAUGUGUAAGUAACUGUGCACAUCUUGACGGUACCUAAUCAGAAAGUCACGGCUAACUACGUG
rnacentral:rRNA from 1 species